ACUGCUCAGUAACACGUAGUCAACCUAACCUAUGGACGGGCAUAACCUCGGGAAACUGAGAAUAAUACCCAAUAGACCACAGUGCCUGGAAUGGCCUGUGGUUCAAAUGAUUUAUCGCCAUAGGAUGGGACUGCGGUCUAUCAGCUUGUUGGUGAGGUAAUGGCCCACCAAGGCUAUAACAGAUACGGGCUCUGAGAGGAGGGGCCCGGAGAUGGGUACUGAGACACGGACCCAGGUCCUAUGGGGCGCAGCAGGCGAGAAACCUUUGCAAUGUGCGAAAGCACGACAAGGUUAAUCCGAGUGAUUCCUGCUAAAGGAAUCUUUUGUUAGUCAUAAAACCACUGAUGAAUAAGGGGUGGGCAAGUUCUGGUGUCAGCCGCCGCGGUAAUACCAGCACCUCGAGUGGUCAGGAGGUUUAUUGGGCCUAAAGCAUCCGUAGCCGGCUGCUCAAGUUUCCGGUUAAAUCCACACGCUUAACGUAUGGGCUGCCGGAAAUACUGUUCAGCUAGGGAGUCUGUGGCGAAGGCGGUCUGCCAGAACACGUUCGACGGUGAGGGAUGAAAGCUGGGGGAGCAAACCGGAUUAGAUACCCGGGUAGUCCCAGCUGUAAACGAUGCAAACUCGGUGAUGCAUUGGCUUAUGGUCAAUGCAGUGCCGCAGGGAAGCCGUUAAGUUUGCCGCCUGGGAAGUACGGACGCAAGUCUGAAACUUAAAGGAAUUGGGAGAGGUAGACGGUACUCGAUAGGAAGGGGUAAAAUCCUUUGAUCUAUUGAUGACCACGGCGGGGGAGCAC
rnacentral:rRNA from 1 species